UAAACCCUCUUCCUUGUUUCCGAUAAAUUUUGGAUCUUUGUUAUCGUUUUCGUUCAAAUUUAUUGAAGAUGAAACAGACAGGGACAUCAGAAGCUGUCUUUGUGAUGAUUUUUGUCUAAAAUGGGAAUCUCUCUGAUGCAAAAACCACAACUUUUGUUCAAAUCAUAAAGAUUGAGACUUUGUUCUUUCUGGGUUUCUGUAUUUGCCUGUGAUGUAUUGAAAUAUUGCACGUAUUAUCAGAUGCGAAAUUCGCGUAUGAUGAUAUGCUCGAAAUUGUCACUACCUCUGAGGCAAAACAAGAAACUAUGUUUUUUGCUUGUUGUUUGUAUCCAAAACCCAAGUGACGCUGUAUCGUUCACUUCCGUCUUGCCCAUUCGGACGUGAAAAAGCUUCAUGCUUUACCAAUGAUGGACUUCAAUAAUCAUCAGAUCUGAUUUGUAUA